rnacentral:rRNA from 1 species
CAAUAGCGUAUAUUAAAGUUGUUGCGGUUAAAAAGCUCGUAGUUGGAUUUCUGCCGAGGACGACCGGUCCGCCCUCUGGGUGUGUAUCUGGUUUGGCCUGGGCAUCUUCUUGGAGAACGUAGCUGCACUUGACUGUGUGGUGCGGUGUCCAGGACUUUUACUUUGAGGAAAUUAGAGUGUUUCAAGCAGGCACACGCCUUGAAUACAUUAGCAUGGAAUAAUAAGAUAGGACCUCGGUUCUAUUUUGUUGGUUUCUAGAGCUGAGGUAAUGAUUAAUAGGGAUAGUUGGGGGCAUUCGUAUUUAACUGUCAGAGGUGAAAUUCUUGGAUUGCGUUGCGACAAACUACUGCGAAAGCAUUUGCCAAGGAUGUUUUCAUUGA